CACCAUGCCCAGGGUGGGUUCGGCAUCUAUACCUGUCAGCCGUCCUUGCAUGGUGUCUGCUCGAUUGUCCUCAUCAUUACGUUCCCCAUCCUGGCGACGCGUCUCUUCAAUCUUUGCCCAUCCAGACCAAGCAAAAAGGGCCAACAUCAGGCCACAUUUCCAUUUGAGACUCCAUGAGAUUUUACCAGGUAUGGUGAAAAAAAGUUUCCACACAAAAUAUUUCUAAUCUGUUGUGGUCAACUGAAUUAAUUGCAAUGAAAUAAGCUGACCACAUUCAUGCUCUACAUGUUUUAAUUUAAAUGGCUCCAUUGGCUUUUCCUUUAGCUCACCCUUAGGACUUAAUGUUGACUUUUAGCCACAUUAUUGGCUUGAAGAACAACAAAAUAGAACCUUAUUUCACAUAUUUCAUAGGAACAGCCCAAGCUUCUAACAAAAGGCAUCCAGUUUUUUCACCAGCAUUCAAGAAACUGGACAACUGGCCAACAAAAGCAACACAUGACUCAAGGUCAUUCAUUGCCAUAAUGCAAAGGUGGUGAGCUACAGUGUGGAUCUUACUCUCUUGGAAAAGAUUUAUAACCUGAUCAGGAUUAGUGUAUGAAAAUUCUCCUGCACAUUGCCCUUCAUCUUUAGGUAUGAGGAUUCCUUAAAAGCUGCUGGGAAACGUGCCGUUGUUUGCUUUAUGCACCCCCCUCCUAACAUCAUACAGUUUAGAACUUCACUCACUCACUGAUUUAAAGGGCUUAUCUGUCUCCUAUGUCUGCCCAGAAAGCCAGAUCAAAAACUAGACCUUUCCUAAAUGAUUCCUCACACCCUGAAAGUGUGUUUUUUAUGGUGGUAAAACCUGCAAGGGUGAUCAGUGCAGGUAUCUCUUCUCAAACUUCUCAAACUUCCAAGGAACACACAACCAGUUUUUUUUUUUAACUGUUUUAUGUCAAAAUGGAUAAAAAAAAAAACAAAAAAACACAUUGUUAAAUAUUUGAAAGUAUUUCAAACAUAGGCCUCUGUCUCAGCACAACAAAACUGUUGGCCUCCAUUGAGGUGUGCUGUAAAUGAAUACUUGUGAACUAACCUAACCGCCCACCGCCAUAGUCUGUAAAUCCAUGAACUAAGUCCCAAAUUUGGUUAACCCUUUUCUUGACAGAGGUGCCAAGGUUCUCCAAGAGAUUAAGGCUAUAGAUUAUUAUAUCAUUUAACAAGUCUUUAGAAGCACCAAAAUCCUAUAUAUACACACACACACAAAUUAAAUACACAGCAUA